GGCUAACGCUGGCGGCGUGUCUUAGCCAUGCAAGUCGAGCGGACUUAUGGGGUAACUUAUAAGUCAGCGGCGGACGGCGGAGUAACACGUAGCUAACCUACCCUCUGGACGGGGAUAACCUACCGAAAGGUGGGCUAAUACCCGAUGUAGUCAUCCUGUAUAGGGGUGAUGAAAGGUGGGCUUCUGUUUACAAGCUCAUGCUGGAGGAGGGGGCUGCGGCCUAUCAGGUAGUUGGUAGGGUAAUAGCCUACCAAGCCGAUGACGGGUAGCCGGCCUGAGAGGGUGACCGGCCCGAGGGGCACUGAGAUACGGGUCCCACUCCUACGGGAGGCAGCAGGCUAGAAAUUUGGGCAAUGGGGGAAACCCUGACCCAGUGACGCCGCGUGCAGGAAGGAGCCCUUCGGGGUGUAAACUGCUGUCGUGUAGGGAGAAGGGUACUAAGGUGAACAAUCUUAGUACUUGACGGUACUACAGGAGGAAGACCCAGGCUAACCUCGUG
rnacentral:rRNA from 1 species